GAUGAACGCUGGCGGCGUGCCUAAUACAUGCAAGUCGAACGCGCAGCGAAAGGUGCUUGCACCUUUCAAGCGAGUGGCGAACGGGUGAGUAACACGUAGAUAACCUGCCUCAAGGCUGGGGAUAACAUUUGGAAACAGAUGCUAAUACCGAAUAAAACUUAGUAUCGCAUGAUACAAAGUUGAAAGGCGCUACGGCGUCACCUAGAGAUGGGUCCGCGGUGCAUUAGUUAGUUGGUGGGUAAAGGCCUACCAAGACAAUGAUGCAUAGCCGAGUUGAGAGACUGAUCGGCACAUUGGGACUGAGACACGGCCCAAAACUCCUACGGGAGGCUGCAGUAGGGAAUCUUCCACAAUGGGCGAAAGCCUGAUGGAGCAACGCCGCGUGUGUGAUGAAGGCUUUAGGGUCGUAAAGCACUGUUGUAUGGGAAGAAAUGCUAGAAUAGGGAAUGAUUCAGUUCGACGGUACCAUACCAGAAAGGGACGGCUAAAUACGU
rnacentral:rRNA from 1 species